UGGUAUAGGUAUGGAUGGGAAGGGUGAAGGUGGGCAGGCGGUUCCUGUUUCUCCUAUGGAAGGAGGAAGAAGGAAGGAGUUAACUUGGCUCCUGGCUCUACCCCCCUCUGCUUCCUAAACCAGCUCUGCAUUCUGCUGGGAGUCCUGGAGUGUGCAGGCACAGGAGAGAGCCUCCAGCACAGGGAAUAAAUGAAAAGGAGGCAGCCAUGGGUAUGUGGGUGCUCUGUCUGAGGCUGGAGGAGCAGGUGCACCUGCUGUUGGAGGCAACAAGUGCAGCUCAGGGGAGGGACCCACCUUGGUGCCAAUGUCACGGCUCUUGGCCCGAAGCUUGUUGACCUGGGACUCAGCGAUGUCGGCCCGUUCCUCUGCCUCAUCCAGCUCGUGCUGCACCUUGCGGAACUUGGACAGGUUGGUGUUGGCCUGCUCCUCCUAUGGGGAGUUGGGGGAUGUGAGGAUGAGGUAA